rnacentral:rRNA from 1 species
CAGAGGGUGCUAGCGUUGUUCGGAAUUAUUGGGCGUAAAGCGCGUGUAGGCGGCUCUGCAAGUUGGGUGUGAAAGCCCUCGGCUUAACCGAGGAAGUGCGCCCAAAACUAUGGAGCUUGAGUGCCGGAGAGGGUGGCGGAAUUCCCGGUGUAGAGGUGAAAUUCGUAGAUAUCGGGAGGAACACCAGUGGCGAAGGCGGCCACCUGGACGGUGACUGACGCUGAGACGCGAAAGCGUGGGGAGCAAACAGGAUUAGAUACCCUGGUAGUCCACGCUGUAAACGAUGAGCGCUAGGUGUUGUGGGUGUUGACCCCCGCAGUGCCGAAGCUAACGCAUUAAGCGCUCCGCCUGGGAAGUACGGCCGCAAGGCUA